GGCCUUUCGUCGUGCGACGAGGGCCGUAGCUAAUUUCUAAAACCAUAAACCUCGUCUCUGGCGACAAAAAUUCUACCAGUUUCAGAUAUAAAUCCCAAUCAAGGUAGCAGACCCGUCCUCUACCGAAGCUCGAAAUUACUGCUAGAGAUGAAGAUCAGAGACGCUUGGAUAUACUUUUUGAUGCUAAUCUUCUCAUUUUCAGUUGCUUCCGCUGAUUCGAUUCACGGUUGUGGCGGAUUCGUUGAGGCAAGUUCGUCGCUGAUUAAGUCGAGGAAGUCAACUGAUGCAAAAUUGGAUUACUCUCGUGUAACGGUUGAGCUUCGCACCCUAGAUGGAUUGGUGAAGGACAGAACGCAGUGUGCACCAAAUGGUUACUACUUCAUUCCUGUAUACGAUAAGGGUUCAUUUGUAAUUAAAAUCAAUGGACCAGAAGGGUGGUCAUGGGACCCAGAAAAUGUUCCUGUUGUUGUCAAUGAUACUGGCUGCAACAGUAAUGAAGAUAUUAACUUUCGAUUCACAGGGUUCACUUUAUCUGGUAAAGUUGUGGGAGCAGGUGGUGGAGAGAGUUGUUCAGUUAAAAAUGGGGGUCCUUCAAAUGUAAACGUUGAACUAUUGUCCCCUAGUGAUGAUCUCAUUUCUUCUGCUGUAACGUCACCAACAGGGAGUUACUUGUUCACCAACAUUAUCCCAGGAAAAUACAAAAUUCGUGCAUCACAUCCUGAUCUAAAAAUUGAAGUCAAAGGUUCUACCGAGGUGGAAUUGGGUUUUGAAAAUGGCAUAGUUGAUGACAUUUUCUUUGUCCCUGGAUAUGAUCUUCGUGGAUAUGUUGUUGCUCAGGGAAAUCCAAUAUUGGGAGUGCACAUUUAUCUAUAUUCAGAUGAUGUUGUGGAAGUAGUUUGUCCCCAAGGUUAUGGUGAUGCCAUGCGACAAAGAAAACCUCUUUGCCAUGCUGUAUCAGAUGCUGAUGGAAUGUUCACAUUUAAAUCAAUACCUUGUGCACGUUAUGAGCUCCUUCCAUUUUACAAGGGUGAGAAUACAGUAUUUGAUGUUUCUCCUCCUGUUGUAUUGGUUUCUGUUGAGCAUCAGCAUGUAACAGUUCCCCAAAAGUUUCAGGUCACUGGAUUUUCUGUUGGAGGGCGAGUGGUUGAUGGGAAUGCCAUGGGAGUCGAGGGUGUUAAAAUCAUUGUUGAUGGUCGGGAAAGGUCUACAACUGACAAAGAAGGCUACUACAAACUCGACCAAGUCACAUCAAAUCAUUAUACAAUUGAGGCAAGAAAGGAGCAUUACAAGUUCAACAGCUUGAAGGAGUAUAUGGUUUUGCCAAAUAUGGCUUCAGUGGCAGAUAUUAAGGCAGUUUCCUAUGAUGUUUGUGGAGUGGUUAGGAUGGUUAAUUCUGAUUACAAGGCAAAGGUAACUUUGACUCAUGGACCAGAGAAUGUCAAGCCUCAAGUUAUACAAACAGAUGGAAGUGGAAAUUUCUGCUUUGAGGUCCCACCUGGUGAAUAUCGCUUAUCUGCUUUUGCUGCUACUCCGGAGAGUGCUCCUGGACUUCUGUUUUUACCACCUUAUAUUGAUGUUAUGGUCCAAAGUCCAUUACUGGAUGUAGAAUUUUCUCAGGCCCUUGUCAAUGUGCUGGGCUCUGUAACUUGCAAGGAGAGAUGUGGUUCAUCUGUUUCUGUUUCCCUGGUGAGAUUACCUGGUAACCAUAAUGAAGAAAGGAAGUCAAUUAGUUUGACAGAUGAGAGUGAUGAAUUUCUCUUUCCAAAUGUCUUACCUGGAAAAUACAGACUUGAGGUCAAACAUAAUUCCCCUGAUGCUAUGCGCAGUGAAGAUAAUUGGUGCUGGGAGAGGAGCUUCAUUGAUGUGGACGUUGGUGCUGAAGAUGUUAAAGGAAUUGUAUUCAUUCAAAAAGGUUACUGGGUUAAUAUUAUCUCAACCCAUGAUGUAGACACUUACAUGACUCAGCCAGAUAGUUCAAUUAGUAAUUUGAAAAUUAAGAAAGGUUCCCAGCAUUUAUGUGUGGAAUCUCCUGGUGUGCAUGAGCUCCAUUUUAUUAACUCAUGUAUUUUCUUUGGAAGCUUGCCAGUGAAGAUUGAUACAUCAAAUACAUCGCGCAUCUAUCUGAGAGGAGGGAAGUAUCUUCUCAAAGGACAAAUCAAGGUCAAGUUAAACUCAGCUGAUGAUGCAUUUGAGUUACCUAAUAAUAUCAUCGUGGAUAUUCUUAAUAGUGGGGGCAGUGCUAUUGAUGGUACAAUUGCCAAUCUUGCAUCUAGUGAUCAAACAAGCAUUGCUCUGUAUGAGUACUCUCUGUGGGCUAAUCUUGGACAGAAACUUACCUUUGUUCCUCGAGACUCUAGGGAUAAUGGAGAGAAGAAGAUAUUGUUUUACCCCACAGAACAUAGUGUCUUGGUAACAAAUGAUGGUUGUCAAGCUCCCAUUCCAAUGUUUUCUGGUCAUCCUGGAUUAUAUAUAGAAGGAUCUGUUUCUCCCCCUCUUUCUGGUGUUUAUGUCAAGAUUAUUGCUGUGGAAGAUAGCCAUGUCACAGCACUUAAGAAAGAUGAAAUGGCACUUGAAACUACCACAGAAACGGAUGGUUCUUUCAUGGGGGGGCCUUUAUAUGAUGAUAUAACGUACAGAGUUGAGACUUCAAAGCCUGGUUAUCAUCUUAAACGUACUGGACCUUAUUCCUUUUCUUGCCAGAAGCUUGGCCAAAUUUCUGUACAUAUAUUUUCAGAGGGUGAUGCUAAUGAACCUAUACCUCCUGUGCUAUUAUCAUUGAGUGGAGAUGAUGGGUAUAGGAACAACUCUAAAUCUGGAGCUGGAGGAACAUUCCUCUUUGAUAACUUAUUUCCUGGCAUUUUUUAUCUUCGUCCUUUGUUAAAGGAAUAUGCGUUCUCACCUCCAGCACAGGCAAUAGAGCUUGGUUCUGGGGAUUCUAGGGAAGUUACAUUCCAGGCUACCCGCAUUGCUUACAGGUCUUAUAUAGUCUUCAUUCUACUUGUAUUACUUGGAGACACCUGCAAUAAUUUAUUUGUGUAUAUGUUUAUUCUAUUUUUCUAGAACCAAAUUACACUAAUAAACCAUUAACUUUAUUGCAAGAAUCUAAUAAAAUUUGAAAAAUCUGUCGUUUUUGGCAUCUGCAUCUUUUAAUAGAAAGGAAAAACAUGCAAAAGAGUAAGAUUUUAUCACUGUGACAGCAACUAUCUUCUAUCAUAGCCAAAAAUUAAAAUUUAAAUUCUAGGGUCUUGUUGCUUUUAAAUGUCCUCUGUACUGUCAUCUUGCUUAAUUUUUCCAUUUUAAUUCGAAAGAGAAAUUUUUGCAUUAAGUGUGAAAUCUUAUAGCCUAUUGAGUGGAUGUUUCUUCAUUUGACAUCAUGUUGCAUUCUAUUGAAAUACUAAUGAAAAUUAAAAUAACCUUCCAAAUCUUUACAUGUGGAUAUUUUACUCCUCUUAGAAAGCAAUAUCGUCUAUCCUUUUUACAGCGCUACAGGUGUAAUCAAACUGUUGUCAGGCCAGCCAAAAGAAGGUGUUGGAGUUGAAGCUCGGUCAGAGUCAAAAGGCUACUAUGAAGAGACAGUAACAGAUUCAUCUGGAAAUUAUAGGCUGAGAGGGCUCAUUCCUGAUACAGCCUAUGUGAUUAAAGUAGUUGAAAAGCAUGGCUUGGGUGCCAAUAGAAUUGAACGUGCAUCGCCAGAAUCUGUUACUGUUAAGGUUGGAUCGGAGGAUAUCAGGGGAUUGAAUUUUAUCGUCUUCGAACAGCCAGAGAUGACCAUUUUAAGUUGUCACGUUGAAGGAAAAAGGAUGGAAGAAUUUCAUUCACAUCUCUUGGUAGAGAUCAAGUCAGCUAGUGACACGUCUAAGAUCGAGUCCGUCUUCCCUUUGCCACUGUCCAACUUCUUUCAGGUUAAGAACUUACCAAAGGGUAAACACCUCCUGCAGCUUAGAUCAAGUCUCCAAUCAAGCAACCUCAAAUUUGAGUCGGAUGUUAUUGAGGUUGACCUGGACAAGACAGCCCAAAUUCAUGUGGGCCCACUGAGAUACAAUUUUGAGGAGGAUCACCAAAAACAGGAUUUGACUCCGGCACCAGUUUUCCCUCUUGUUGUUGGGAUUUCAGUAAUUGCACUUUUCAUCAGCAUGCCAAGAUUGAAGGAUUUAUAUCAAGCAACAACAGGAAUACCAGCACCAGGAUUUAUGACCACUGCAAAGAAAGAACCUCGAAAGUCAGCAGUGAGAAAAAAGACAUAUUGAGGAUCCCUCCCAUAUAAGAAACACGAGUAGAUUCAAAUUUUGAAACUUGGCCACCAUUUUCAAGUUUUGGCCAGUCACAUAGCUAACUUGCAUGAGAUCUUAGCACCUUUGUAUGCCAACUGAAGUUUCUUUACUACUUUUCCCCACAUCAUCCACGUCAAAGUUUUUAUUUUUAUUUUUAUUUUAAGUUAGGAGAGGUGGAUUUGAACUCGUAGCUCCCACUUGAAACGAAGUAUGUGGCUACCAAUUAAUCUGCUUUGGACGCACCCAAGUUUUCUGAUUUGUAGGAGCGAAUCCUUCCAGUUUCGGUGCAAAUUACUUUCAUUAUCCCCUCGUAUGGUUGAGCUCUUCUUUUCUUCCCCAGCUGUUAUAUUCU
rnacentral:misc_RNA from 1 species